rnacentral:rRNA from 1 species
GACGAACGCUGGCGGCGUGCCUAAUACAUGCAAGUCGAACGAGAGCAACCGGUGCUUGCACUGGUCAAUCUAGUGGCGAACGGGUGAGUAACACGUGGGUAACCUGCCCAUCAGAGGGGGAUAACAUCCGGAAACGGAUGCUAAAACCGCAUAGGUCUUCGAACCGCAUGGUUUGAAGAGGAAAAGAGGCGCAAGCUUCUGCUGAUGGAUGGACCCGCGGUGCAUUAGCUAGUUGGUGAGGUAACGGCUCACCAAGGCCGUGAUGCAUAGCCGACCUGAGAGGGUGAUCGGCCACAUUGGGACUGAGACACGGCCCAAACUCCUACGGGAGGCAGCAGUAGGGAAUCUUCCGCAAUGGACGCAAGUCUGACGGAGCAACGCCGCGUGAGUGAAGAAGGUUUUCGGAUCGUAAAACUCUGUUGUUAGAGAAGAACAAGUGCUAGAGUAACUGUUAGCGCCUUGACGGUAUCUAAUCAGAAAGCCACGGCUAACUACGUG